ACAGUAGUAUAGUAAGGCCGAUCCUGGCUCACUUUACAUGGAAAAGUGCCAUAUGAUUGAAGUGUUAGCGUUUCAAGGUCAAAGUGGUGUUGAAGGUCAAAGUGGUAUUGCGUAAGUGGGGGGGUGGGUGGAUUUCAAGGUCGAGUGUUGAGAAGAAAGGGGUGUAUUGUUUGUGUUCUUUGGAGGGGGGUGGUGGUGUCGGUUCAAGGCCGUUGGUAAGAGGGGGUGAUGGCUGAGGUCAUUGGAUUUCAAGGUCGAUUGGUGAAAACAAAGGGGUGUAUUGUUUGUGUUCUUCGGAGGCUUCAAGGUCAUGUGUGGGGAUGUGUCUGUCUGAAAGAAUGCGUGCCGAUGCUGGCUCACUUGAAGGUCAAAUCGAUUUUGGGUCGAAGCUGAAUGCGUGGCGAUCCUGGCUCACUUUCAAGGUCGUAUCGAUGCAUUGGUGUUCAAGGUCAUGUGGGGGUGUGUCCGUCUGAAAGAAUGCGUGCCGAUGCUGGCUCACUUGAAGGUCAUAUCGAUUUUGGGUCGAAGCUGAAUGCGUGGUGAUCCUGGCUCACUUUCAAGGUCGUAUCGAUCCUGGCCCACUUAGCAUUGAAGAAUAUAUGAAUAAAGUGUUGGUGUUCAAGGUGAAAUUGGUGUGGUGUUGCGUGGUCGUUUCAAGGUUUUUGGAUUUCAAGGUCGAUUGCUGAGAGUGUUAAGCGGGGUGUAUUGUGUGUGAUCAAAUUGUUUUUCCUGAAGGCGAUUGGAUUUCAAGGUCGGACGCUGAGAACAAAGGGGGGUUUAAUGUUUGUGUUCUUCUGGGGGAUGGGGUGCCACUGGCGGUGCCAGUUCAGCUCUGAGAGUGUAAAAAAUGGGUUGCGUAAUUUUUCGGCUGCCGUCUCAAGAUUGAGGGUAAAACGUAAUUAUUCUUCUUGCCGGCUUCGUAUCUCAAAGGCCGAGAGCGCGCCGGGGGUCGAGAGAACAAAGGGUGUAUUGUUUGUGGUCAAGGUCAAACGUGGUGCAAUUCUUAGGCUAUCGAGGGAUGGUUUGCGACUUGGAGAGUGGGGGGUGUAAUAUAAGAGGAGAUGUCAAGAGUAAUUGUUCAUCAUCAUCAUCAGCAGCAGCAGCAGCGGCAGAAACGGAAAGCUGGUAAAGAAAAUUAGAAAAUUAAAGUGGGAUGUGGAAAUUUUGGGUUGUCGGCGCAGUAUGGAAAAAUUGAUGUUGGGAGGCCUACUGGCGAUUUGUGGUGAAUAUGUGGCGAACGGCUGUUGAAUGCCUUCAUCAAACCUUAUUGGUAUUACUAUCUGAUGCUGAGCAUGAGGCGGUGUAUGGACCUGAGACUUUUAGGGAACAGUGUCAAAACAUUGCCCAAAGGUAUGAGUUGGGGAUUGAAAUAUGUAGACGCUUUUUAAAUUAUAAAAUAUCCGUUUAUUGCCUUAUGAACGGACUAAACGUGGCUCAGUUGGGUGAAUACAUAAUAUGGUGAUGAAGAAAGUGACAUUUGACGAUAGUAACAAUCGCGUGUAUGUGCUGAUCGCGUGGUCAUGUGCAUAUAAUGAAGCGCGAAAAGGGCCUUGGAUAGAUUUCGCUUUAGUAGGAAAAUAGAGCAAUUUUGUAAGAUAUUGUCUCUCGUCUUAGCAGAAAAUCAUCGAUCAUCGGUUUAUCGCACUAGAUUUCAUGGUCAACAUCAGACCGCAAUAUAAUGGUAUAUAUCGCACUGGAUUUCAAGGCCACCAUACAGCAAUGUAAUGGUUUAUCGCACUCUAGAUUUCAAGGUCAUCAGCCAGCAAUAUAAUGGUGGUAGAAAACGGUGCCUGGAAUCAGUCGAAUAGUGUUGACUAAUCAGUUAAAAUGGAUCUUAAUCGACUCAACAGUAGCACCUACUGCAAACCUUUCAAGAACGUCAAGGAUAUGAAGGUUGGUGAAAAGUAUAAAGUGAUUGGUAUCGAUCUAAUCAAUACCAAGUAUGGCGAUCGAAUACUGAUCGAUACUGAGAACUUUAAGUGCAUCCUUCCUUUGCGCUUUUAUGAGUACUUCAAGAGCGACAACUGUCUGCAGAUCUUCAAGGACUUCUUGUCCAGGGAAGAAGUCUUUAUAACAAGCGCUGGAACGGCGGGGAAGACUACUAAUUUAACAUUUAUGUAAAAAAGUUGUAAAUGAGAGAGAGAGAGAGAGAAAUAAUAAAUGUUGUUCACGAGAGAGAAAUUGGGUCUCUUAUUUAAAUGCACAUCCCACUCUCGAGAUCAUCUCAACGAAAAAAAGGCUCCAAAAUGUGGUGACGAGGAUGAGGGCGACGAUGACAACAUCUAUCGCGAUAUUGAAGAUGUGUUAAACUAUAAGUUUAACGUAAAUUCUCACAAUACAGUUUGCAAGAUGGAAUUAUUAUACUAUCGACCUACUUAUUUUAUGUAUCACAUAUGUCAAUAAACGUACUCUAUUUGA